AAAAUCAUAUGAUGUGGAGCUUAUUUUUCAUGGACACUGUCAAAUUCAGAACCCAUUACCGGUAUGGCUGAUUUGCAGCAACAACAAAACGAUUCGUAUGGGUUAUGUAAAAGGUUAAAGAGAUUUGUAAAGCAAAUGAAAAGGUUUUUAAUGACUUUAUCUGACAAAUUGAUGCUGUGCAACAUGCAUCUUUCGAGUCUGAAUAGAAACCGGAAACGCGGAUGUAUCAAUUUGAUUGUAAUAUACGAAAUGAAUUCGGAAUUACGAUACGAUAUUUCUUUACAGGAAAUAUUUCUAAGUUUUUACUUUUAAACUUUUAAAGUCAUUCUAAAUUAUCGUUACAGCAGUACUCGAGUUAUUUGUGAUGAAAUAAUAUUUACUGUUUUGCGUCUUAUUUUGUACUUCUUAAAAAAGGG
rnacentral:lncRNA from 1 species